ACACUCCUGCGGGAGGCAGCAGUGGGGAAUAUUGGACAAUGGGCGCAAGCCUGAUCCAGCCAUGCCGCGUGAGUGAUGAAGGCCCUAGGGUUGUAAAGCUCUUUCACCGGUGAAGAUAAUGACGGUAACCGGAGAAGAAGCCCCGGCUAACUUCGUGCCAGCAGCCGCGGUAAUACGAAGGGGGCUAGCGUUGUCCGGAUUUACUGGGCGUAAAGCGCACGUAGGCGGACUAUUAAGUCAGGGGUGAAAUCCCGGGGCUCAACCCCGGAACUGCCUUUGAUACUGGUAGUCUUGAGUUCGAGAGAGGUGAGUGGAAUUCCGAGUGUAGAGGUGAAAUUCGUAGAUAUUCGGAGGAACACCAGUGGCGAAGGCGGCUCACUGGCUCGAUACUGACGCUGAGGUGCGAAAGCGUGGGGAGCAAACAGGAUUAGAAACCCCAGUAGUCCCAUGA
rnacentral:rRNA from 1 species